AGGAGCGUGGGAAGACUCCAGAAUCCACUCUGGCUGGAAUCCGGUGGAUACAGCAGUGUUACAGAAGUUUCAUUUGUCAGUGUGGAUCUGCUGAGUCACCUGAAGAACUCAUUUCAUUCUCCACGAUGUUGAUUUACAGAAAUGUUUCACAGGAACUGAUUCCUCCCAAAGGGUACAGUACGUGAUAUUAAGGGCAGGCGGUCAUCACUGGGGGAAGACAAGAAGCAGACGUACUUCCAAGAGGGAGCUGCAGUGAGGACACAGCCUGGUCACUGAGGUCAGAGGAGGCGCUGAAAGGUUUCCCUAAUAGUUCCUGGUGAAUCAAAGCAGAACCAUAAAGGUUGCUGGACUGCAUGAUGGCCUUACCCCUGAGCAGUCAUCCUGUUAAAGGAGGAACCAGUUAGAAGCUGUUUUCAAAGUAGCUGAGCAGAUUUCAUCUCAACAGACAAAGCCGAUGGCAGAAGAUGUUUGGAGAAGAACUUCAGGCCGUGGACUGAAAAGUAGAUCAAAGCAGCUCGUGCUCUGUCUGCUUCCAUU